AACGGUCUAUACCUGCGGUACCUGCGGAGGGAUCAUUAUAGAGUGGUAAACCUCCCGUAAAAAGGGGGGGACCUCCCGUCCUUUGCAGGCUCUUUUUUAAGGGGCUUUUUUGACUUUCUGCUUCGGUGGGGUUAUCCUACCGGAACAACUUCAAAACUCUGAAUCAAAAAAAUCGUUCUGUCCGAGGGCUUUUUUAUAAAAUAAAAAAAAACUUUCAGCAAUGGAUCUCUAGAUCGGAAG
rnacentral:misc_RNA from 1 species